GGCCUGUGAUGAUAACAAUUUGUCCGUACCAUCUGACAUCUGUGACGAUCCUCAUCUGCUAAUGUAUCUCUGAGGCCC
rnacentral:snoRNA from 2 species